UCGUAACAAGGUUUCCGUAGGUGAACCUGCGGAAGGAUCAUUACAGAAUUUUGAGAAUUGUGCUUAACUGCACUUUUCUUAUCUACACACGUGUUUUUGUUUUAUUCUUAAAACUUGCUUUGGCAGUGGCUGCUUAAUUGCUCUGCUGCCAGAGGAUAAACUCAACCUAAAUUUUUUAUUUUAAACUAGUCAACUGAUUAUAUUUAUUAAUAGUCAAAACUUUCAACAACGGAUCUCUUGGUUCUCGCAUCGAUGAAGAACGCAGCGAAAUGCGAUAAGUAAUAUGAAUUGCAGAUAUUCGUGAAUCAUCGAAUCUUUGAACGCACAUUGCGCCCUCUGGUAUUCCGGAGGGCAUGCCUGUUUGAGCGUCAUUUCUCCCUCAAACCCCCGGGUUUGGUGAUGAGCAAUACGCCAGGUUUGCUUGAAAGUUAGGAGGAGUAUUUAUAACAAUGUAUUAGGUCUAACCACUCCAUUGUGCUUAAUAAAAGCUCCAAUCUAUAUUUCAAACUUCGACCUCAAAUCAGGUAGGAUUACCCGCUGAACUUAAGCAUAUCAAUAA
rnacentral:misc_RNA from 1 species